rnacentral:tRNA from 1 species
GGGCGCAUAGCUCAGCAAGGUAGAGCGGCGGGCUCUUAACCCGUUGGUCGGGGGUUCAAGUCCCUCUGCGCCCG